GAGAGGGAAAUCAGGAGCAUGGGAGGUCUAACAACCCAAUUCGUGUAGAAAGAUCUCCCAGACAAGGACAUAAUUCACAGUAUCAAACAGCAGUUGUGCCAAGUAAGCUAAGCUCCAAAAAGGGCCCAUUGGAUUUGACAAAUUGAACGUCAUUUUGGGUUUGGGCAAGAGUAGUUUCAGAGGAAUAGUGAAAGCACAAGCCAGAUUACAGUGGACCGAGAAGUAAACAAGACAUAAGAAAAUGACAUAGUGGGACAAUAAGAUUAGAUUGUCUUAGGGAUUCUGUGUGUGGGACAGACCCACAAGAAGAUGAAGCCUGAAUAGCCUUUGAGGAAGGAUUAGAUAUCUUCUAGGUGGACUGAAGAGAAGGCUUUACAGUGGAGAACACAAACAAAGCACAGAGGCGUUACACAGCUUGGUUUGCUGCAACAACCCAAGAAGUUUAGCGUUGUCAAGGCAUUAAUGUGAAGGGAAUGGGUGAGUAGAACAAGAGAUAUCCUGUGGAACAGAGACAGGAAUCAGAUCAGAAAAGCCUUUCAUGCUAUGCUAAGGAAAAGGAAUUUUAUCCUGAGGCAAUCGGGGGACACUGAAAGACUUUAAUCAUUCUAUUUGUGACUUCACCAGCAGAAUAAGGAAUGAGACAAGGCUGGGGGCAGGGUGAGCAGAGCAGAAACACAGAUUUCAGUAGCAGAGGAGGGACAUGACCACACGAAUCAAUGGGAGAAACAGGAUAGAGUAAGAAUUACCAAGAGUUGGUGACUAAGUCACAUAAAGAACAAAGUUUGGAAGUAGGAAUCAAAGAAAAUACUACUAUUUCUGGUUUAGCUGAUUGAGGAGAGGGGAAUUACCACCAAUAAUGAAAGUGAACAGAUAGGGAGAUUGAGUUUGGAGCAUGAUAAAUCAUUAUUUCAGUUUGGAACAUUUUACAUUUGAGAUUCCUCUUAAUAUUUAAACGGAAAAAUCCAGGAAAGUCUUUGGACCUGGUAUACCUAGUGUAUUGGACAGGUCAUGGAAAUUUAGAGCUUGAGAUAAAAGAUAACUCGAAAUCAGGGUGGAGGUCUGGGAUUUAAUUCACUGCCUUGAGGAGCUUCCCAGAGAAAAAGGAUGGCAAUGCUUAACUACUCUGGACACAGUUGAAGCUAGUUCAAACUCCCUCUACAGGGCUGAAGAAGUGGUUCUAGAAACUGAAUCUUCAAUAGUGGGUUGGGGGAGAUGGAAUGAGAUCAACUGUGGGUUGGAGUAAUUGAAAGACUUGGAAUCAAAUAGUAACUAAUCAGUCCUUAAAAUCUCUCUUGCUCUACUCCCUGUGGCUACUUACAACAAGGGUGUAGGAAUUGGAUUGUGAACCUGAACCCAGAGCCUUUGGGAACUCCAUAGAAACAGAGGACUAAGGGACACCUUGAGGAGAUAGCCAGUAGAGAAGAAGGUCUCAUCAUCACAAUGUAUUGCCAAAGCAGCCUAAGAUUAAUCUACUUGCCAUCACCAAGGCAAAGCAGCCUAUUCCUGGUCCUCUGGAAAUUGCCUCCUUGCCCAAUCUGGAAAUUGCUCUAUGUCUACUCAACAGUUGCUGAAGUUGAGUAGUUCAGCAGUGAAGUUCUAUAACUUCACUUACUCUGAAUUCUCUUAGGUCUGGUCUUUCUUGUUCUUCCUUUGCCUCCUUGUCUUGGUGGAGUACAUCGUCUAAUACAGUGCCAUGCAGACUAGAGAGUCUGCAAGCCAUUUCUGGUGCACAGACUAUCAUCGUUCUGUGAUGAGAGGGAUCCAGAAAUCAAUAGGAAGCAUUCGAAGGCUUUUAUAAUACUUUGAUAGUGCUACUCCAUGCACACAUUUGAUCAAGGGCCAUGUUCACAAUUAGCACAUAGCAAAUUCUAACUUGGAACAAAUCAACCCAGCGAGUAUUUUUUUUAAAACUUUUUAGUACAAGUUGAGUAUUGGUCAUAUAUGGCUAAUGUAGUAAUUAUUUUAAAAUGUGUAAAAAUUAAAGAAAGCUUUUUCAUUGCAGAAAAUAAUUUACCUAGGUUUGCAGUCUAGAGUAUAAACUAUAAAAUAUUACACUUUGUAUCAAUAUGUCUAUCAAUAACAUAACAUCUUUUACUCAAAAAGUCUUAUUUUUUACUCAAAAAGCUAUCAGCUGUAAGGCUAAUGUAUUAUAUUCAGCUUAUUCUAUUAAUUAUGGAACAAUAAGGAAAGUAAUUGCAAACAGCUUUUUUGUAUGCUGAAGUAAAAUGGUUAUCAAGGGGAAAAACUCACUCUAGACUAAAUUGAAAUAGGGAAUCAACUCUGGUGCUCCUGAAAAAUAAGAAAUUUGUUGGGUCCCCCAAAUUUAAAGACAAAAAUUGAACACAAAUUUUACAAAUUUGCUUAUGUGUUUAAUAUCACUGAUAUUUCUAAUUAUCUGACUACUAUGUGAAGAAGGAAUGCAACAUACUUUUCAGUGGUAAAUCAAAUUGAAAGGCAAUGGAAAAAUUUACAAGUUAGAGAAUUUUUGCAGGCUGUUAUGAUAUAUACUUCAUAAUUUAACACAAUUUUCCAUAAAGUAGAAGGUAAUCUUGAUAUUAUACGUCUGAAAAAGUUAAAACUGAACACCUCACAAAUUUGAUAGAACAUUUUAAUCUCUAUUUUAUAUCACAAAAAAGGCAACAGGACAUUCAUGAGCUAGAACCUUGUUAUUUCAUUGGAAACAAAACGUUUAUAUUUUAAGGCAUAGAUUGUUGCAACUUUCUAUUGGUGAAAGAUUGAAAAUGAUUGUUGAAAUUGUAGCAUCAUUUGCUUCAUUUUAAAUAAAAGGUAAAACUGAAUAUCCUGAGCAUGCUGA
rnacentral:lncRNA from 1 species